AGGUUGUACUUUCUCUUGAGCUCGUCGCUCUUGGCCUCCAGCCGCCGCCUCUCCGCCGUCUCCGCCUCGGACUCGAGCGCGUCGAAGACGGCGGCGCCCACCAGCAGGAUCCCAGUUCCAUGUGGGCUCUCACCGGGGUGGAAUUCUCGCUUUUCCUGCUGCCCCCAGAUUUCGGGAUCAUCCCUGUGGGGCUGGAUGGUGCCACCCUCUGGAGCAGGGAAUGUUUUCCAAGUUUUCCAUCCCGGGACAGCUUCUGUCAGCUGCUGUCACCUGAAACCAGGGGACAAUUGUCCCUCACACCUGUGCUGGCACCUCAACCCGGACCUGAUCCUGUGGGAAUUCCAGAGUCCCAGGGAAUUCCAGUUAGGAGUAUGGGGAUCCGGAACUGCAGGAUCCGGGAUGGUUGGGAUCCCCUGGGAUUCACUCUGGCAGGGUGCGGCGUUUUUGGGAACAAAGAUCUGCGGGAUCCUUCCUGGCUGCAGAAGCUCCUUUGCCUUUUCCUGCUCCU